rnacentral:tRNA from 1 species
GCCUGGCUGGCUCAUUUGGUGGAGCAUGUGACUCUUAAUCUCGAGGUCAUGAGUUCAAGUCCCACACUGGGUG